rnacentral:rRNA from 1 species
UACGUAGGGACCAAGCGUUGUUCGGAUUUACUGGGCGUAAAGGGCGCGUAGGCGGCGUGGUAAGUCAGCUGUGAAAUCUCCGAGCUUAACUCGGAACGGUCAGCUGAUACUGCUGUGCUAGAGUACAGAAGGGGCAAUCGGAAUUCUUGGUGUAGCAGUGAAAUGCGUAGAUAUCAGGAGGAAUACCGAUGGCGAAGGCAGGUCUCUGGGCUGACACUGACGCUCAUGCACGAAAGCGUGGGGAGCAAACAGG